AUUGAACGCUGGCGGCAGGCCUAACACAUGCAAGUCGAACGGUAACAGGAAGCAGCUUGCUGCUUUGCUGACGAGUGGCGGACGGGUGAGUAAUGUCUGGGAAACUGCCGGAUGGAGGGGGAUAACUACUGGAAAGGGUAGCUAAUACCGCAUAACGUCGCAAGAACAGAGGGGGGGACCUUAGGGCCUCUUUUCAUCGGGGGCGCCCAGGUGGGAAUGGCGUGUAGGUGGGGUAACGGCUCCACUGGGCGGCGAUCUCCUGGUGGUGUGAGAGGGUGACCAGCCACCCUGGAAGUGAGCCAGGGUCCAGGCUCCUACGGGAGGCAGCAGUGGGGAAUAUUGGACAAUGGGGGGAAGCAUGAUGCAGCCAUGCCACGUGUAUGAAGGCAGCGUUCGGGUUGUAAAGUACUUCCAGCGGGGAGAAAGCGAGUAAACUUAAUACCUUUGCUGAUUGACGUUAACCGCAGAAGAAGCACCGGCUAACUACGUG
rnacentral:rRNA from 1 species